rnacentral:lncRNA from 1 species
GUUGGGAACAGUAGCCCUCACUUGGUAUUGUGGUUUAGAGAUUAAUAUGUAUUGUAUUGUGGUUUAGAGAUUAAUAUGUACUUAAUUGAGUAGGCGUAGUACAGGUGGUUCCUAACAUGCAUGAAAGUCUUUUGAUGUUGAUGGCAUUAAACAAACAUAUUAUUAAAAUUUUAUGCAUUAUUAUAAGAACACCACUCAAAGAUCUUAUACUUGUCAAUACAACAAGGGAUGAUUGUUGUUUUUACUUUUAAAAUAAUUC